UACGUAGGGUGCAAGCGUUGUCCGGAAUCAUUGGGCGUAAAGCGCGUGUAGGCGGUCCGGUAAGUCGGCUGUGAAAGUCCAGGGCUCAACCCUGGGAUGCCGGUCGAUACUGUCGAGCUCGAGUCCGGAAGAGGCGAGUGGAAUUCCUGGUGUAGCGGUGAAAUGCGCAGAUAUCAGGAGGAACACCGAUGGCGAAGGCAGCUCGCUGGGACGCAACUGACGCUGAGACGCGAAAGCGUGGGGAGCAAACAGG
rnacentral:rRNA from 1 species